rnacentral:rRNA from 1 species
UGGGGAAUAUUGCACAAUGGGCGCAAGCCUGAUGCAGCGACGCCGCGUGGGGGAUGACGGCCUUCGGGUUGUAAACUCCUUUCAACCAUGACGAAGCGGAAGUGACGGUAGUGGUAGAAGAAGCACCGGCUAACUACGUGCCAGCAGCCGCGGUAAUACGUAGGGUGCGAGCGUUGUCCGGAAUUACUGGGCGUAAAGAGCUCGUAGGUGGUUUGUCGCGUCGUCUGUGAAAUUCCGGGGCUUAACUCCGGGCGUGCAGGCGAUACGGGCAUAACUUGAGUGCUGUAGGGGAGACUGGAAUUCCUGGUGUAGCGGUGAAAUGCGCAGAUAUCAGGAGGAACACCGAUGGCGAAGGCAGGUCUCUGGGCAGUAACUGACGCUGAGGAGCGAAAGCAUGGGUAGCGAACA